rnacentral:lncRNA from 1 species
UCCAGCUUAAAUGUUUGAAGACCUAUCGUUCAAAAAGAACGAUACAGGAUAAUAGAUAGUGUCUGAAAGCUUUUACCAUAAGAGUUAUGAGCUUUAUUUGGGAGCUUUUGAGUUUUGCUUGACUCCUCCUGCUAUUUGCCUCAGUUUGAACUUAUUUUUGCUUUAGACUGGCCUACAUCUUUACCUUGGAUCUGCAUGCUUUAACCUCGGAUCAACAUGCUUUAUCUUGGAUUUGCAUGCUU